GUGCUCCCUUCUGCCACACAUAGUAAAAUUGGAACGAUACAGAGAUUAGCAUGGCCCCUGCAUAAGGAUGACAUGCUAAUUCGUGAAGCGCUCCAUAUUUUU
ensembl:snRNA U6 U6 spliceosomal RNA